rnacentral:rRNA from 1 species
UACGGGAGGCAGCAGUCGGGAAUAUUGCGCAAUGGAGGAAACUCUGACGCAGUGACGCCGCGUGCAGGAUGAAGGUUUUCGGAUUGUAAACUGCUUUAGACAGGGAAGAAAAAGGACAGUACCUGUAGAAUAAGCUCCGGCUAACUACGUGCCAGCAGCCGCGGUAAU